GCCGAGAUGGUGAAAUUGGUAGACACGCAAGUUUCAGGUACUUGUGGGGGCGACCCCGUGGAGGUUCAAGUCCUCUUCUCGGCACCA
rnacentral:tRNA from 1 species